GACAGAGGAUGCAAGCGUUAUCCGGAAUGAUUGGGCGUAAAGCGUCUGUAGGUGGCUUUUCAAGUCCGCCGUCAAAUCCCAGGGCUCAACCCUGGACAGGCGGUGGAAACUACCAAGCUGGAGUACGGUAGGGGCAGAGGGAAUUUCCGGUGGAGCGGUGAAAUUCGUAGAUAUUGGGAAGAACACCGGUGGCGAAGGCGGCUCUCUGGACCGAGACUGACGCUGAGGCGCGAAAGCGUGGGGAGCAAACAGG
rnacentral:rRNA from 1 species